rnacentral:sRNA from 1 species
UUAGCUUAUCACGUACGUGUUCCAUCA